UCUAUAAUGGAAUCAUCGUCGUCUUCGC
rnacentral:piRNA from 1 species